rnacentral:rRNA from 1 species
AGCUCCAAUAGCGUAUAUUUAAGUUGUUGCAGUUAAAAAGCUCGUAGUCGGACUUUGGCUGAGGACGGUCGGUCCGCCGUUAGGUGUGCACUGACUGGUCUCAGCUUCCUGGUGAGGAGGUGUGCUUCACGGCCACUUAGUCACCGUGGUUACUUUGAAAAAAUUAGAGUGUUCAAAGCGGGCUUACGCUUGAAUAUAUUAGCAUGGAAUAACACCAUAGGACUCCUGUCCUAUUUCGUUGGUCUCGGGACGGGAGUAAUGAUUAAGAGGAACAGUUGGGGGCAUUCGUAUUUCAUUGUCAGAGGUGAAAUUCUUGGAUUUAUGAAAGACGAACUUCUGCGAAAGCAUUUGCCAAGGAUGUCUUCAUUG